UUGAACGCUGGCGGCAUGCUUUACACAUGCAAGUCGAACGGUAGACCCUUUCGGGGGUUGAGAGUGGCGAACGGGUGAGUAAUGCAUCGGAACAUACCCAGUCGUGGGGGAUAACGUAGCGAAAGUUACGCUAAUACCGCAUGAGUCCUGAGGGAGAAAGCGGGGGAUCGCAAGACCUCGCGCGAUUGGAGUGGCCGAUGUCAGAUUAGCUAGUUGGUGGGGUAAAGGCCUACCAAGGCGACGAUCUGUAGCGGGUCUGAGAGGAUGAUCCGCCACACUGGGACUGAGACACGGCCCAGACUCCUACGGGAGGCAGCAGUGGGGAAUUUUGGACAAUGGGCGCAAGCCUGAUCCAGCCAUGCCGCGUGCGGGAUGAAGGCCUUCGGGUUGUAAACUGCUUUUGUACGGAGCGAAAAGGCUCUCUCUAAUAAAGGGGGCUCAUGACGGUACCGUAAGAAUAAGCACCGGCUAACUACGU
rnacentral:rRNA from 1 species